rnacentral:rRNA from 1 species
GACGAACGCUGGCGGCGUGCUUAACACAUGCAAGUCGAACGGAAAGGCCCUGCUUGCAGGGUACUCGAGUGGCGAACGGGUGAGUAACACGUGGGUGAUCUGCCCUGCACUUCGGGAUAAGCCUGGGAAACUGGGUCUAAUACCGGAUAGGAGCCAUUUUUAGUGUGAUGGUUGGAAAGUUUUUUCGGUGUAGGAUGAGCUCGCGGCCUAUCAGCUUGUUGGUGGGGUAAUGGCCUACCAAGGCGGCGACGGGUAGCCGGCCUGAGAGGGUGGACGGCCACAUUGGGACUGAGAUACGGCCCAGACUCCCACGGGAGGCAGCAGUGGGGAAUAUUGCACAAUGGGCGCAAGCCUGAUGCAGCGACGCCGCGUGGGGGAGGACGGCCUUCGGGUUGUAAACUCCUUUCGCUAGGGACGAAGCUUUUUGUGACGGUACCUAGAGAAGAAGCACCGGCUAACUACGUG